ACGCUGGCGGCAGGCCUAACACAUGCAAGUCGAACGGUAGCACAGAGGAGCUUGCUCCUCGGGUGACGAGUGGCGGACGGGUGAGUAAUGUCUGGGAAACUGCCCGAUGGAGGGGGAUAACUACUGGAAACGGUAGCUAAUACCGCAUAACGUCGCAAGACCAAAGAGGGGGACCUUCGGGCCUCUUGCCAUCGGAUGUGCCCAGAUGGGAUUAGCUAGUAGGUGGGGUAAUGGCUCACCUAGGCGACGAUCCCUAGCUGGUCUGAGAGGAUGACCAGCCACACUGGAACUGAGACACGGUCCAGACUCCUACGGGAGGCAGCAGUGGGGAAUAUUGCACAAUGGGCGCAAGCCUGAUGCAGCCAUGCCGCGUGUGUGAAGAAGGCCUUCGGGUUGUAAAGCACUUUCAGCGGGGAGGAAGGCGAUACGGUUAAUAACCGUGUUGAUUGACGUUACCCGCAGAAGAAGCACCGGCUAACUCCGUGCCAGCAGCCGCGGUAAUACGGAGGGUGCAAGCGUUAAUCGGAAUUACUGGGCGUAAAGCGCACGCAGGCGGUCUGUCAAGUCGGAUGUGAAAUCCCCGGGCUCAACCUGGGAACUGCAUUCGAAACUGGCAGGCUUGAGUCUUGUAGAGGGGGGUAGAAUUCCAGGUGUAGCGGUGAAAUGCGUAGAGAUCUGGAGGAAUACCGGUGGCGAAGGCGGCCCC
rnacentral:rRNA from 1 species